rnacentral:rRNA from 1 species
UAAGGAAUAUUGGUCAAUGGACGCAAGUCUGAACCAGCCAUGCCGCGUGGAGGAUGAAGGUCCUCUGGAUUGUAAACUUCUUUUAUCUGGGAAGAAACCCCUUUUUUCCAAGAGGGUUGACGGUACCAGAUGAAUAAGCACCGGCUAACUCCGUGCCAGCAGCCGCGGUAAUACGGAGGGUGCAAGCGUUAUCCGGAUUCACUGGGUUUAAAGGGUGCGUAGGAGGGCAGGUAAGUCCGUGGUGAAAUCUCUGAGCUUAACUCAGAAACUGCCGUGGAUACUACCGGUCUUGAAUAUCGUGGAGGUGAGCGGAAUAUGUCAUGUAGCGGUGAAAUGCUUAGAUAUGACAUAGAACACCAAUUGCGAAGGCAGCUCACUACCCGAAUAUUGACUCUGAGGCACGAAAGCGUGGGGAUCAAACA